ACACCUGCAGAGGGUACAAGGUGGCGUGGGUGCAGGUGGAGACGCAGACCAUCUUGACCAUCCACACGUCAGUGAUCACCAGGAACCCUCGGGUGGGCCUCAGCCACGAGGGCCACACCGUCUACCCUACCACCUCAAGGAG